UAAUUCAAAAAUGGUCUAUAAAUCAAUCAAUAUUUUGUCUCUCAAAAGCUACUUAAAAUGGGUGGCCGUUAGAAGAGUUUGACAUUGCUAAAGCGAAAAAUGCGCGUGGUAAAGAAAAAUCGGGUCACAAGAUCAAAGACGAGAAGAUCUGCCCGCGCACAUACCUUGACGGCAUGAAUCACGGCUCAAGCUGAAAUCACAAUCAUUUUGUGGCGAGACGUUAGGAGGGGGACACCGCAUUUUGGCUACGUCCUAAGCUGUCUAGAAUAAUAAGUUAAAAAACCUAGCAUGGAAAAGGCCAGGACUUAAACACUAAUCUCAUUUAAAAUCACGGUUUCAGAACUGUAGGAGCUCUAAUACACUCCUCAAACUACUAAUUUUUUUUCGCAAUUCUACGUACAUCAAUGAUAGCUGUUUUUUGAGCAUUCAUGAGCAUGCAGUUUGAAUGGCAGAUGUGACAGAAGUAACAAGUUGAUUUCCUACUGAAUCAAAGAUAUCAUAAGCCGUUUCAAGGCCCAUUUCGCAAGUUAUAAGUCCAAAGCUGGCGCACUUGACGAACACAAGGAGACUAUUGAUGGACAUUCUCUACGAAAGGAUAUGCAAAAGAUCAAAAUGGAAUAAGCCGCGAUAUUAGAGUUUGAGUGUCUCGCACUUGCUGAAGCCGUCCGCUUAUUCAAAGCCAAGGAAGUUGCUAGAUAGGGAAGAAUUUGUUUUAUACCUACGCCAGACCACACAUUCUUCAAACAAUGAUGAGAAUCACUCAAAUUCGCAAGAAUAAAGGUAGCGAAACUCCCUAAUUCACCAUGCAAAGAAGAAGCAUGUAGAAAAACAAACAAGAGGACACGGAAACUGGUGAGGAGGAGGAAACAAAAUCCGGACAACAUCCAAGAUAACAGCCCUCAAGAAGCCUACGCGAUUCAGAAACACUUAUUGGACCUCCCUUAAGAAAACCAUUUGGGAAUAAACGGAAACUGGUGAUGAGGAGAAAACAAAAUCCGGCCAACAUCCAAGAUAACAGCCCUCAAGAAGCCUACGCAAUCAUUCAGAAACACUUAUUAUACCUCCCUUAAGAAAACCAUUUGGGAAUUAAGUCAGCCAUCAUGAUUGACAAUAAAGCCAUUUGCCUUUUGGCGGCCGUAACUGACUUCUCCGUUUCUCGAAUCGAUCGCAGUUCAACUUCGUAUGUUAUCGUGUCUUAAGAAUCACCAUAUUGGUGCGCAUAAUAACUACAUAUUGCCUAGACGGUUCACCGAACCGAUAAAUUGAGAGAUUGGCAGCUAUGAUUACUUGGUGUGCCAUCAGAUUAUUAAAUAGCUCGUUAUUUAUCAAGGAAAUCGAAAUUUGUUUGCCAUCAACAGCAAUUAAUGCAUGCUGCAUUUUUUUUUUUUUUUUACAAAAUUUUCCCAACAGAUGAUCUCGUGAAAAAUUGUGAAAAUGAUUGGAUGAAACAUACACAAACUCUAAUAAUAAUAUAUAUAGAUGCAUAUAUCUUUGCCACUUUCUCUUCCUUCUGAGUGAAGUCGUUUAGAAAAAUAACCUCUAAGGGAACAAACGAGAUAAACAAAAAUGCCACGAAAAUGUGUUUUCAUUUGGAUUAAAGUAUUUGCCAAGUUCGUGUUA